rnacentral:rRNA from 1 species
GAAGAUCAGCGGCGGACGGGUGAGUAACACGUGGGCAACCUGCCUGUAAGACUGGGAUAACUUCGGGAAACCGGAGCUAAUACCGGAUAAUCCUUUCCCUCUCAUGAGGGAAAGCUGAAAGACGGUUUCGGCUGUCACUUACAGAUGGGCCCGCGGCGCAUUAGCUAGUUGGUGAGGUAACGGCUCACCAAGGCGACGAUGCGUAGCCGACCUGAGAGGGUGAUCGGCCACACUGGGACUGAGACACGGCCCAGACUCCUACGGGAGGCAGCAGUAGGGAAUCUUCCGCAAUGGACGAAAGUCUGACGGAGCAACGCCGCGUGAGCGAUGAAGGCCUUCGGGUCGUAAAGCUCUGUUGUCAGGGAAGAACAAGUACCGGAGUAACUGCCGGUACCUUGACGGUACCUGACCAGAAAGCCACGGCUAACUACGUGCCAGCAGCCGCGGUAAUACGUAGGUGGCAAGCGUUGUCCGGAAUUAUUGGGCGUAAAGCGCGCGCAGGCGGUUCCUUAAGUCUGAUGUGAAAGCCCCCGGCUCAACCGGGGAGGGUCAUUGGAAACUGGGGAACUUGAGUGCAGAAGAGGAGAGCGGAAUUCCACGUGUAGCGGUGAAAUGCGUAGAGAUGUGGAGGAACACCAGUGGCGAAGGCGGCUCUCUGGUCUGUAACUGACGCUGAGGCGCGAAAGCGUGGGGAGCGAACAGGAUUAGAUACCCUGGUAGUCCACGCCGUAAACGAUGAGUGCUAAGUGUU